ensembl:snoRNA
UGUGGUGUAAUGAUGACCAUUUUUCCCCGGCAGAUCGACCCUGUUGAUUUCUGCGUUUUUGAUUUAAGCCAAUGUGUUCUGAUUCACCAAG